GGUACGCCCAUGUGGCACAUGGCGUAUGUGUGUAUGUGUGUGUAUGUGUGUGUAUGUGUGUGUAUGUGUGUGUAUGUGUGUGUAUGUGUGUGUAUGUGUGUGUAUGUGUGUGUAUGUGUGUGUAUGUGUGUGUAUGUGUGUGUAUGUGUGUGUAUGUGUGUGUAUGUGUGUGUAUGUGUGUGUGUAUCUGUGUGUGUAUGUGUGUGUAUGUGUGUGUAUCUGUGUGUGUAUCUGUGUGUGUAUCUGUGUGUGUAUCUGUGUGUGUAUCUGUGUGUGUAUCUGUGUGUGUAUCUGUGUGUGUAUCUGUGUGUGUAUCUGUGUGUGUAUCUGUGUGUGUAUGUGUGUGUGUGUGUAUGUGUGAGAUGUAUGUGUGUAUGUGUGUGUGUGUGUGUGUGAGAGAGAGAGAGAGAGAGAGAGUGAGUUACGUAAGUACCCUCUUACCUCGCACUUCAGACAAAGCAAGUGAUGAAGGAUACUAACGACCCAAGGGAACGAUAAGCGUUGCGGUGGGACCACAUACUUUCCAGCAUCUUCGCCAGACGUUCAGGUUCCCACUUUAUAACGUCCUUCAUAUGCUCAAAGCGUGUGAAAUCCAUAUCAGGUCUGAUUUCGCUGUACACCGGACAGUCCAGCAAGACGUGCUCUGACCGAUCGGAUGUGUGCUCCAGAUUUUGCCUUCAGGCCUUCAGGAUGCUCGCGGUAGGCACACGCGCCCACCAGUUAACAUUCCGCUCCUGCAACGGGAGCCACGUCAUCUAUGUAUGCGUGGGUUGCGGAAGCGCAUCGGACACGGAGCACAUGCAGGGGUGGUGCGACAGCAUCUCCUCCUUGGCAAGAACCCUCCAAACAACGGCAUGCGAGCAGGUAAAAUAUGACCGCGCAUUAAUGCAGGGUAAUUUACUUUUCGAUGCAGAAUAUGGCGAGCAGGAGAAGGGUUUCUCCAGGUUUAACUCCGUUUUUUACGAGCUCGUGCUGGAAGCGCCGUAGCAUCAGUGUCCGCUGCUUCGGCGGGCUUGUUCUGCUCAGGUUUAACUGGCUUGACGCACAUUGGACGAAUAAAUGGCAUAUAAGAGUUCAGUACCUAGGUUGUUUUGUGUAUCCACGAGCGCCGCGCGAAGGAAUGAUGAGUACUCGUAACCACUCGUCGCCCAUCACACGACACAUGCGCACCACCACCACCACACCAUCAAUACAAUCACCAAAUUCAAAGUCGCAAAUUAGGCUCACAGAGCUGUCGUGG
rnacentral:lncRNA from 1 species